rnacentral:rRNA from 1 species
GAUGAACGCUGGCGGCGUGCUUAACACAUGCAAGUCGAACGGGGAACAUUUUAAAGAAGCUUCGGCAGAUUUAGCUUGUUCCUAGUGGCGGACGGGUGAGUAACGCGUGGGUAACCUGCCUCACACUGGGGGAUAACAGUCAGAAAUGACUGCUAAUACCGCAUAAGCGCACAGAGCUGCAUGGCUCAGUGUGAAAAACUCCGGUGGUGUGAGAUGGACCCGCGUUGGAUUAGCCAGUUGGCAGGGUAACGGCCUACCAAAGCGACGAUCCAUAGCCGGCCUGAGAGGGUGGACGGCCACAUUGGGACUGAGACAUGGCCCAGACUCCUACGGGAGGCAGCAGUGGGGAAUAUUGCACAAUGGGGGAAACCCUGAUGCAGCGACGCCGCGUGAAGGAAGAAGUAUCUCGGUAUGUAAACUUCUAUCAGCAGGGAAGAAAAUGACGGUACCUGACUAGAGCCCGAYYUG